rnacentral:lncRNA from 1 species
UCGUUUUGAGCCGGGAAAAAAACAUCGACCGCUGAGGUGUGGAACAAAUCCUCGUGGAGGCGCAGGAGAAGAUGGCUACGGUGGCGCGCGCGACGUAGAGCGACGGCGACGGGACAAGGUCCGCCUCUCCGAUGGUCAUCUUCUCCGUCGGCCACCUUCUCGCCUGUACGUAUCUCCUUCUUCCCCUCAUCUCCUCUCCUUCAUCUUCUGCCUAGGGUUAGGGUUCUUGGUUCUGCUGUGAGCAUGUCAGGCGACCGCCGGCACAUCUUGCCUCUGCGACCAUGCCCGACGAGGAGGGCAAGAUCUCUCACCUCAUGUAUUGAUGCCCGCUACUGAAUCCAAUCGAGCUGAUCUAAUUACAGUUAAUUAAUCCGAGCUGACUACGCAUAGAAGUACUUGUGCGAUGUAAUUCACUUGGUUCCUCAUCCAUCACAAACACACCUGUUUCUACUACCCUUCCAUCGGUUUUGGUAAUUUCAAUUUUAAUUAGAUAGCUCAACUGGUCAAAAUACUGCAUCCUUUAGAUUCUUGUUUCUUUCGAUUCUCUAAUUUAUUACUGCCAUCCUUUACCAAAAAAAUUAUUUAGCCGAUCGUUCUGAAGGUGUAGGUCAUGAUUCUCAUUAAAACUAAAUUUUACAUUAUGUUACAGAACAUUUUUUCAUUAUGCUGCAGAACAAUAUGCAAAUCUUAGCAUUUUAUUAUCUAGAUAAGAAUUUAGAAAUUGUAGAACCAGAUCAAAACGUGCAUCAGAAAAGGUUCUGAGUCUAGAUACGAAUUUAGAAAUAGUAGAACCAGAUCAAAAUGUGGAUCAGAAAUGUGGAUCAGAAAAGGUUUUGAAUCUAGAUAAGAAUCGUACUGUAUGGUGAAAUUCCGUAGCAGCUGAACAGGUUCAGACUUUCUGUAGCAUCUGAUAUUAUCUACAUACAUAAUGGAUGUUAUGUAUACAUUAGCUGUAAAUAUUGCUAGUUAAUAGUUCUGAAGGUCCAAUUCUAGUCCAUUGCUAACUGCAUAUAAGCAUAGCUUAAAUCAUUGUAGUUUACCAUCGAAAACUGAAAGCAUAUUUCUUUUUUGGGACAAUUUCGUUUGUGCCCUGAUUUUCAAGUCUAAUAUUGAUUUUAUCAUUCCUUUUUAGGGUUUUUCGUUUUUGCCCCUCUUUUUCUUAACCGAAUGAACCAUUUGCCCCUAUUUUGGAUGGAAGUUAUGUUGACAGUUAGUUGACCAAUAUAUUUAGUUUAAAAAAUAAAAGAUUUUCUUUAAAAAAUUUGACAUAGUUUUGAAACUCUGUCAAAUAUUUUAAAAAAAUUACAAGUUUUUAAACAUGUCAUUUGAUUUAAUAAUAUAUUGCUUUUGUAUAUUUCUAUGGUUUAGAGCAGAGGGUAACAAUACAAAUGACUAAAAAAAUAUCAAAAUGAUAUUCUCGUGCAGGGGUAAAAUAGUCCUUUAACAUGUUAUUUAACACCGUUAGUCCUUCCAUCUAAAGGAGGGGCAAUUGGUUCAUUCAAUUCAAAAAAGUAAAGGCAAAGACGAAAACCCUAAAAAGGAGGGGCAAAUUCAGUAUUAGAACCUGAAAAAGGGGCACAAAUGAAAUAACCCCUUCUUUUUUAUAUGCAGGCUUUAGAGAAAAGGAACUCUGCAAGAUGCUGGUUUUGUUCAGUAGCAACAAAUGUAUAUCUCAAUGUUCAUUGGUUCCAAUUUUCAGUAGCAUCCGGACCAUAUUUUUGUUGAUCAAUUUAUUGACGAGCAACAUCUAUUGUUCAGUUGUUUAGGAGUAAACAAAGUUUAUAGAUUGUUUUGGAUAAAUUCUGGAUGUUUUAUCUAGAAGUUAUGUCUGAUGGAUUAAUUAACAG